rnacentral:rRNA from 1 species
UACGAGCGCCCCGAGCGUUAUCCGGAAUUAUUGGGCGUAAAGGGUGCGUAGGCGGCCCUGUUAGUCGUUUGUUAAAUCUUCCCGCUUAACGGGAAAAUCGCGAACGAAACGGCAGGGCUUGAGAAUGUGAGGGGCGCGCGGAACUCAUGGUGUAGGGGUGAAAUCCGUUGAUAUCAUGGGGAACACCAAAAGCGAAGGCAGCGCGCUGGCACAUAUCUGACGUUCAAGCACGAAAGCGUGGGUAGCGAAUGGG